GGGGCUGCACUGGUUUCGACGUGGAUUCAGACGCGCAGCAGGGCAUGUCGAGGUUCUGUCACCUCGUUAAUCCGCAGAAAAAAAGUAACUGCAAACGACGAACGUUUCGCACUCGCUGCUUAAUUGCAGUUGAGCCUCGCAACAGCAAGCCGAUAGGCUGGGCAAGGGUGGCGCAAGCCGUCCAGGCUGCGGGGUAAUCUCAUUCGGCUGGGCUGGCUUCGGGUAACUUGGGGCUGGUCGAGAACUUAGGUUGCUGGCGUUGUGUGUGGCGUGCCACUGCGCGAUACACAAGGCGAGACUUCAAACAAAUGGCUACACAUGUAGAACUGCUCGAAGACGGUUUGCGGACGCGGGUUCAAAUCCCGCCAGCUCCACCA
rnacentral:tmRNA from 1 species